AAUUAUUUAGUUAAAUAUAAUAUAUGACUUGAAAUCAUAAGAUAGAAGUAAAUUCUUUUAAUAAUUU
rnacentral:tRNA from 1 species